rnacentral:rRNA from 1 species
AUUGAACGCUGGCGGCAGGCCUAACACAUGCAAGUCGAACGGUAACAGGAAACAGCUUGCUGUUUCGCUGACGAGUGGCGGACGGGUGAGUAAUGUCUGGGAAACUGCCUGAUGGAGGGGGAUAACUACUGGAAGCGGUAGCUAAUACCGCAUAACGUCGCAAGACCAAAGAGGGGGACCUUCGGGCCUCUUGCCAUCGGAUGUGCCCAGAUGGGAUUAGCUUGUUGGUGGGGUAACGGCUCACCAAGGCGACGAUCCCUAGCUGGUCUGAGAGGAUGACCAGCCACACUGGAACUGAGACACGGUCCAGACUCCUACGGGAGGCAGCAGUGGGGAAUAUUGCACAAUGGGCGCAAGCCUGAUGCAGCCAUGCCGCGUGUAUGAAGAAGGCCUUCGGGUUGUAAAGUACUUUCAGCGGGGAGGAAGGGAGUAAAGUUAAUACCUUUGCUCAUUGACGUUACCCGCAGAAGAAGCACCGGCUAACUCCGUG